GAUGAACGCUGGCGGCGUGCCUAAUACAUGCAAGUCGAGCGAAUGGAUUAAGAGCUUGCUCUUAUGAAGUUAGCGGCGGACGGGUGAGUAACACGUGGGUAACCUGCCCAUAAGACUGGGAUAACUCCGGGAAACCGGGGCUAAUACCGGAUAACAUUUUGAACCGCAUGGUUCGAAAUUGAAAGGCGGCUUCGGCUGUCACUUAUGGAUGGACCCGCGUCGCAUUAGCUAGUUGGUGAGGUAACGGCUCACCAAGGCAACGAUGCGUCGCCGGGCUGUGAGGGUGGCCGGCCACACGGGGACUGGAAAACGGCCCAGACUCCUACGGGAGGCAGCAGUAGGGAAUCUUCCGCAAUGGACGAAAGUCUGACGGAGCAACGCCGCGUGAGUGAUGAAGGCUUUCGGGUCGUAAAACUCUGUUGUUAGGGAAGAACAAGUGCUAGUUGAAUAAGCUGGCACCUUGACGGUACCUAACCAGAAAGCCACGGCUAACUACGUGCCAGCAGCCGCGGUAA
rnacentral:rRNA from 1 species